GGCACUUGUCCCCGCCGCCGCCGCCACACUCUAAUCCCCACCUCGGGAUCCCUUCGGAUCAAAUUCCACCAACCCAGCCACUGUUCUCCUCUCCAACCCCCUUCCUAUUUUUCAGCGCCGCACAAAAUCGCAGCAGCAGCAACCGAGGCCCCCUGCUCCCUGCCUCCUCCUCGUCGCUUGUGCGCCCGAGCACGCCGCCGCCCUGUUCACCGCCGUCGACCAGGCCAGGCCUCCCCUGCUCCUUUCCUUCUUCCCUGACUCUACCCCAUCCUCUCACCUCUCCCUCUGCUUGUCACAGGGAACCACCGCCGCCAUGGAUCUCACCACCGACCGGAGCCACUGGAGCUGAGCCGCCAUCGUCCUCCUCGACCCCACCGUCCAGAUCCGAUCGGUGCCGCCCCGUUUUGCCGUUCCUCGACGUCCCUGCACCUUCCAGCGCCGCUGUUGCCUCAAUUCCAUCACGCCGUCCUCGGCUUCCACUUCAACGGGCAGCAGGAGCACCGUUCAUCGUCGUUGACCUACAGCCGUGCAUGGACUCCCGCGCCUUGGGCCGCCUUCGGUUGCCAGGGUCCAGCCCGCUCCAGAUCUGGCCGGCCUCCGCCAAGUCGCCGCUGCCUUCAGCCCUCGUCGUUGCCAGAGAUUCCGCCGCCGCUGCUCUGUUUCUGCUUCUUCUUCCUGUCGAGCAGAGCAGCGCGCCCGCUCCUCCCUGUCGCGUUGACCACGAACGCCCGAGCCAGUGGACGAAAUCCUUGCCUCCAGUCCCGGCCCAGCUCGCGUCCAGCCAGCCCAUGAGGCCUGGAGAGCUUCAGUUCCAGCUCCCAUGAUGUUAUCGGGCGUACCAGUUUCGGCCCAUAGUAUUUUUCUUUCUGCACUGCGUUUUUUAAUCUUUUUAUUCCAGAGUUUGCUGUUUUACAGAAAAGACCCUUAUGUUCAUGCAUUUAAUAUCUCACAAACCGUGCAUCGGAUUAAAAUAAGUUAUAUAUGAAACUUUCUUAGAAUUUUGUGUAGAUUAAUAAUUUGCCACUUUCAUCUAUGUUUAAAAUGCUUAAAAUGCUGUCUGUUUAAAUUUGCUUAAAUAACUUGCUAAAAUAUUUUAAUUCAUAACUAUUUAACCGUAGCUCCGAAUUAAAUAAACUUUAUAUGUAAAUGGGGUAGAAAAAUGCCUAGUUUAACAUGGUGGCAUCACUUUGCAUGUUGAACAGCUCUAAAAUUGUGUUUAGGGCAGAACAGUACCAAACCUUAAAAUAUGCACAUGAGGAGUUUCAGGACUAGUUGUUUUGUUGUUCCGGCCUCAUUUAAACUUUCCUAAAUAGGUAGUUUUUAUUUGCUUUACCCUCUUGCCAUGCUAACAACAUUUAAUCUUGUUGGGUACCUAAACGAGAGAGAAAUAAAUAAUUGAUGUGGUGUUUCGUGAAUAUGCAACAGAGUUGGAUAUUGAGCUCCACUUAAUUUGUAGGAUGGCUUGUGCACUUUGCCAUACCAUGUAUCUUUAAACUGGACAUGCAUCAUAUUUAGUUGUGCAUCUCGCCAUGUUUAUGUGGUGGUUUUUUACUAUGUUGUUUGCUUCUUUCCGGUGUUGCUUCUUCGGGUUGGUUCUGUUAACGUCGUGUUUGUGAGGAACCGUUUGACUACGCCCGUUUGUCUUCUUCAUGGACUCGUUCUUCUUCCUUGCGGGAUUUCAGGCAAGAUGACCAUACCCUCGAAAUCACUUCUAUCUUUGCUUGCUAGUUGCUCGCUCUUUUGCUAUGCCUAUGUUGCGAUACCUACCAUUUGCUUAUCAUGCCUCCUAUAUUGUUGAACCAAGCCUCUAACCCACCUUGUCCUAGCAAACCGUUGUUUGGCUAUGUUACCGCUUUGCCCAGCCCCUCUUAUAGCGUUGUUAGUUGCAGGUGAAGUUUGGAGCUUGUUUCAUGUUGGAACAUGGAUAUUUUUGUUGGGAUAUCACAAUAUCUCUUAUUUAAUUAAUGCAUCUAUAUACUUAGUAAAGGGUGGAAGGCUCGGCCUUAUGCCUGGUGUUUUGUUCCACUCUUGUCGCCCUAGUUUCUGUCAUAUCGGCAUUAUGUUCCCGGAUUUUGCGUUCCUUACGCGGUUGGGUUAUAAUGGGAACCCCUUGACAGUUUGCCUUGAAUAAAACUCCUCCAGCAAGGCCCAACAUUGGUUUUACCAUUUGCCACCUAGCCUUUUUUUCUUUCCCUUGAGUCGGCCGGCUCAAGGGUCAUCUUUAUUUUAAACCCCCGGUCCAGUGCUUGUCUAAGUGUUGGUCCAAACUAAGCGAUGUUCGGAGCUACCAGGGGCAACUCUGGGCUAGCCCACCCGACGUCUGGCUCAUCCGGUGUGCCCUAAGAACGAGAUAUGUGCAGCUCCUAUCGGGAUUUGUCGGCACAUCUGGGUGGCUUUGCUGGUCUUGUUUUACCAUUGUCGAAAUGUCUUGUAACCGGGAUUCUGAGUCUGAUCGGGUCUUCCCGCUAGAAGGAAUAUCCUUCGUUGACCGUGAGAGCUUGUGAUGGGCUAAGUUGGGACACCCCUGCAGGGAUUUGAACUUUCGAAAGCCGUGCCCGCGGUUAUGGGCAGAUGGGAAUUUGUUAAUGUCCGGUUGUAGAAAACCUGAAGGUAACCUUAAUUAAAAUGCAUCAACCGCGUGUGUAACCGUGAUGGUCUCUUCUCGGCGGUGUCCGAGAAGUGAACACGGUGUUGGAGUUAUGCUUGACGUAGGUUGUUCUAGGAUCACUUCUUGAUCAUAGUUGUUCGACCGUGCUUUUGCCUUCUCUUCUCGCUCUCUUUUGCGUAUGUUAGCCACCAUAUAUGCUACUCGCUAGCUGCAGCUCCACCUCAUACCUUUUACCUUACCUAUAAGCUUAAAUAGUCUUCAUCGCAAGGGUGUGAGAUUGCUGAGUCCCCGUGACUCACAGAUACUUCCAAAACCAGUUUGCAGGUGCUGUUGAACCGUGCAGAUGACGCAACCAAGCUCAAGGAGGAGCUUGAUGAAGAUCUCGUUCUUUGUGUUGUUC
rnacentral:rRNA from 1 species